rnacentral:rRNA from 1 species
AAUUCACAAAAUGGUGGAGUAUGUGGUUUAAUUCAAUAAUCCACGAAAACAUUACCAUAAAUAGUAAAUAAAAAAUUUAUUUAAAUUUAUUUUUAAGUAUUGCAUGGCUGUCGUCAGUUCGUGUUUUGAGAUGUAAAAUUAAGUUUUGUUACGAACGUAACCCCCUUUAAAAAAUAUGUUUUAAUGUAUUAUGUUAGAUAUUUUUUUUAAAAAGGGCUGAAGUCAAGUCAUUAUGGUCUAUAUUUUAUGGGCUACUCACGUGCUACUAAAGUAAAAACAAUUAGUAAAUAAUUUAGAAAUAAGUAUUAAAUCUAAAAAAAUUAUUUUAUUUGGAUUAUUUUAUGAAAGUUUAAAAUAUGAAAUAGGAAUCAUUAGUAAUUGCAAUUUAUAAUGGUGCAAUGAAUAAAAAAAAAAUUUUGCACACACUGCCCAUCACGCUCGGAUAGUGAAUAAAUACUGAAACUUAAGUUUUAAAAACAGAAAAUUUAGAGUUAAGUACUUAUUUGUGAUUU